UACGGAGGGUGCAAGCGUUAUCCGGAUUCACUGGGCUUAAAGGGUGCGUAGGUGGGCAGUUAAGUCAGUGGUGAAAUCUCCGGGCUUAACCCGGAAACUGCCAUUGAUACUAUCUGUCUUGAAUAUCGUGGAGGUAAGCGGAAUAUGUCAUGUAGCGGUGAAAUGCUUAGAUAUGACAUAGAACACCAAUUGCGAAGGCAGCUUACUACCCGAAUAUUGACACUGAGGCACGAAAGCGUGGGGAUCAAACAGG
rnacentral:rRNA from 1 species